rnacentral:lncRNA from 1 species
GGAGGAACUGGCUCUUGAAGGAAGAUGUCCUUCCUGUCUCCUCCCUCCCCAGCAAUUUCCACUGAGUUCUGGGUGGACGCCAGACGGCAAGAGGCAGAGUGCAGGGGAACAGUAAGAAGCUGAAGGUAGCGGAUGUGAUUUCGAGAAGUUUGACAGGGAAAGGUAGGAAGGAGACCCUACGAGGACUGGAGGGAGCUCUUUCUUCUCAACCAACAUCUGGAGGCUAUUCAGUGCUGCAUACACUUCCUGCAAGCUGCCCCUCUGUUCUCUCGCCCUCCUCAUCUCACGUGAUCAAUCACCGGACAAGCUACCUGGAUUUCCUAGUGCCCAAGAGUUGCCCUCAAUCAACACACAACACGUUCCCAUGUAGAAUCUUCACCAAGUGUUCCUUUUUUCCAUUACAGGAAAUCUUAUUCCCUUCCUGGCCCCAAAACCUUGCGGUAAAGCCCCCUGACAAUCUGGGUCAAAUGUCAGUCAUGAGACGGCGGGCUUUCUUUUUACAAGACUGGGCGAGUCCCCCAACAAAAAAGUCAAACUGAAUUUUAUCACGUAAUAUCUACUAUAGUCCAUCAAGCAAUUGUCACUGCAUCUUUUUCAGUUAUGGUUACCAAAGGUUGUGUUUAAAAUUAGCUCACAGAAUUCUCUGCCGGGCAUGGGGAUGGCCCGCAAAUGACACGAAUGACCAAGAUUCAGUGUUGUUUAAAUUGUGUAUGUUCUGGAAAGGGAGUCACUUUGUCUACUUGAACUUGGAAUUUAUUUACUAAUGUUGCAGUGUGAUAAAAGUGAUCACAAUCUAGGCUGGGCACUGUGGCUCACGCCUGUAAUCCCAGCACUUUGUGAGAACAAUAUGGGAGGAUUGCCUGAGCUCAGGAGUUUGAGACCACCCUGGGCAACAUGAUGAAACACCAUCUCUACUAAAAUACAAGAAGAAAAAAAAAAAGGCCAGGCAUGGUGGCUCACGCCUGUAAUCCCAGCACUUUGCGAGGCCGAGGCAGGCGGAUCACGAGGUCAGGAGAUCGAGACCAUCCUGACUAAUGCAGUG